rnacentral:lncRNA from 10 species
CCCCACUGUUGCUCUCCUGGGAGGACUUCAGCAGCCCUGUCAAUUCCUCUUCACCUGCCACCCUUGUCGAAAGCCCUCCAGUGACCCCCUCCUCAAUUCCCCACUUGCAGACAUCAUUUAUUUGACCUUUGACCCCAGUUUCCACAUCCGCCAAAUGGAGAUAAUAAUUGCUGCAGGAUUCAACGUCAGAAAAGGAAAGAAGUUGGAUUUUAAACAAUUCUGAAUUUAAAAAACAGCAACCAUUCCAUAGACCCUGUAAGAGACAUUACUAGUGCUCACGAAUGGCUUGCUUGUCUCUCUGUCCAGGUGCGGGAAAGUCUGCAUCUCCAGCCUGCUUGGCUCAGCAGGGCCAGGGGACUUGCUUUGACCAAUGGGUGUGAGCAGAAGUUACAAAUGUCACUUCAAAAGCAUUUAAUUGCUGGCUUGAGAACCCCCUCUUUCUCUCUCUUCGUCUUUGGCAUUGACUGAGAAGACUUCCUGUUCCAGAUGAUGAUGUAGAAGAUGGUGGAAUGUCCUUCCACCGGGAUUGUGGAGCUGUUGCAUAGAGAACAGUUGCCCUGUUCUCUGGCCUAGACCCAGAACACACUCUGCAUGGUGAAAAUGCAAGCUUUCUGUGAGAGCCACUGAGAUUUGGGAGUAUCUGUUACUGCAGCAUAACCUAACUUACUGCAGUUAAUAGUCACUAUAAUGUGGGCAUGUAAGUUAAGGAAGAGUCUCUCAAAAUGACUCAAAUUAGUUUGCUUCCAGAUUACCCAUGGCGAUGAGGGACACAGCCUACUUACCUGCUAAAAAACCCUUUGCCCUGCCUUUCCUGGCCUUGUUUUCUGGCCUGGUCUUCUCCUCCAAGCCUGGGGCAGACUUCUGCUGAGUCCUUUCUGAUUCCUGCUCACAGAAGGGAGACCUUCUGGGGUCUGGGGAGUUUUCAUGUCCUACCCAUGACCUCCUACCCACCCCAUGUACUCCUGCACCUGCUCAGGCCUCAGUACCCCUCACCUGGACCACAAAACUCCUCUCUGGCCUCCUUGUUCCAAGUCCUCCCCUUCCUGUCCAUUCUCCACACUGCCCUUUGGUGGUUUGUCCAAAACACUACAGUAAUUAGGUCACUCACUGCCUAGAACCCUCCAUGGCUCCCUUUUGCCCUCAGGAUAAAGACCAAGUUCCAUAACUGAGCUCUUCUGGAUCUCAUGCCUUCAAAACUUAGUUGAAAUGUUCCCUCUUCCCUGACUGUUUGCACUCUCACACACAGUUUUGUAAUUUCAUUGUUUACACAUCAAUAUCCCCCACUAGACUGUAGGCAACUUCAAGGGCAACAUGAGUGUUGAGUCCAGAAUUUGAUCAUAGUAGGCAAUGAAGGAAUGUUUG